rnacentral:rRNA from 1 species
UACGUAGGGGCCUAGCGUUGUCCGGAUUUAUUGGGCGUAAAGAGCUCGUAGGCGGUUUGGUGAGUCGGGUGUGAAAUCUCCACGCUCAACGUGGAGGGGCCACCCGAUACUGCCAUGACUAGAGUCCGGUAGGGGAGUGUGGAAUUCCCGGUGUAGCGGUGAAAUGCGUAGAUAUUGGGAGGAACACCAGUGGCGAAGGCGGCUCACUGGACCGGAACUGACGCUGAGGCGCGAAAGCGUGGGGAGCAAACAGG